GUUUAUGUGAAAUUUGGAUGUAGGAAGUAACAAUACAAUCUGACUAUAGAAAAUUACAGUGGCUCAUAUGCAGAAUAGUUCUUCAUGUGUGGAUGCAUUGUAAUUAGUUUUAUCUCAAAACUUUUUUACAUUUAUGACUAAUUAUAGCUGCUGGGCUGCUGCGGUGUUCUUUAUUUUGGUCUGCAUGUGUUUUUGGCUUUGGC
rnacentral:misc_RNA from 1 species